GAUGAAGAACGUAGCGAAAUGCGAUACUUGGUGUGAAUUGCAGAAUCCCGUGAACCAUCGAGUCUUUGAACGCAAGUUGCGCCUCAAGCCAUUAGGUUGAGGGCACGUCUGCCUGGGCGUCACAUAUCGUUGCCUGAUGCCAGUUUCCUCGUGAUGGGUGACUGUGCAGGGCGAAUGAUGGCUUCCCGUGAGCAUUGUUGCCUCAUGGUUGGUUGUAAAUUGAGUCCUUGGUAGGGAGCGCCGUGAUAGAUGGUGGUUGAGUGACGAACGAGACCCAAUCAUGUGAGACCCCUACCGAAUUUGGCCUUCAUGACCCACAUGCGUCUUUGGAACGCUCAUGACGAGACCUCAGGUCAGGCGGGGCUACCCGCUGAGUUUAAGCAUAUCAAUAAGCGGAGGA
rnacentral:misc_RNA from 1 species